CUAGGGGAUCUUCCUGACCCAGGGAUCAAACCCGUGUUUUCUGCUUUGGCAGGAGGAUUCUUUACUGUCUGAGCCACCAGGAAAUAGGCGCGUAGACUAGGACCAGAUCAUGAAAAGAAGAAUGAGAACUCAUUCUCAUGGAGGUACCAGCUGACUCCCAGGGCUCACCACGGCACCGCAGUAUGACCCAAAAGUAACCGUGGCCUGUUCUCGGGGUGGAUUCUCCUGAGAGCCUCACAAGUGCUGUGGCGAUUUCCUCUGUUUCUAGUUCCCAUUUGAAAUCAGGGCGGAGGCCUCCCACCUUCUGUGACUGCAUCCUUGCCUGCUGGACCUCUGCCAAUAUGGGAUAUUGAUCGUAUGUGAGACCACGCCCUGCAAGAGUUCACAAUGUUUAAGAAUUCUUGCCAGAGCUCAUAAAAAAUUUCACAGAGAAAUCAUGAAAUAUCAAA